rnacentral:lncRNA from 1 species
GUGAUCGGUGUCGGCAUGAUGCCUCGGUUGGCUACGGCGGCGUGCGCGCCGGUCGGUCGGCGCGGCGAAUGGCGGCAGGUGCGGUAUCGGCGGCAGCGGUGCCCGGUAGUACGCUGUGGCCCUAAGGCCUAACGCUAGCGGCGCUGUGAAUUGGCGCGGUCGUCGGCACGGUGCCCGGUGUCAGCUGUUCGGCGCAUCAGCUGAUCGAUCGACGGCGUUGUUGUCACCACGCGUGGUGACAAGUCGCGGAGCCGGUUCCUCCUCACUGCGGAAUCCCCGGGUCGGAACGACGGCGACCGCUCAGUGCGCGGCCGAGAGCUCGGGUACGGAUCGUGUCGUGUAAAAAAAAUAAUUGACUUUGAUGUUGAAACUAAUGCUACAUCUGACAUACUAAUGGAAGUUGAAUCAACAGUAACAUGCUCUUCGACUCAAAACGGAGUAGAAAUUAAGAGAAUGUUUUAUAAACGUCGGAAUUCCAACAACGAGCACUCAAACAAUAAAUAUGUUAAGAUAUCCAAAAGAUAUUUCAGGAAAGGCACUCGAAUAUAUGUCGAAAUGCUUUAAUAAAAUAUACAAAAAUUUUAAGACGAAAAUAUUUUAAUCAACAGAAAAUAAUCAAAAACUUAAGAAAGAAAACAUAUUAUCAAAAGAAGAAAAUUGUAUGUUUCAAAAGUUUUUUAAUUAAUUUGAGAAAAAAUAAUCUCAUUUCUACAAAUGCUCAUCAAGUGCUACAGAUUUUUUAAACCAUUAUUCAUAUGGUUAUAAGGGCAAGGACGAAAACGACCCAUAGGGAGGGAUAGAACCCAGAUAGCACAAGGACAUUCAUUGUAUGUCUAAUGGAUAUCCGCUUCUGGAUAUUCGGACGUCCAUUAAGAGUCCAAAUAAGGUCCGUCGGACAUUCGAUGGACGUCCACAGGAUAUACGUUUGGCACAACUUUGUACGUUCAUAGAAAGUCCUUUAAUGGACGUCCAUGGUAUAUACGUU